AUGUGUAUAUAUCCACCCACACAUGCUACGAGAGCUGUAAGUGUACAUAUACAUACGUGCAUAUGUAAUAGUGAUGUGAUGCUUCUUACAUAUGUUCACAUUCCUUCUUUUCUCCAUUUUCAGGUGCAUCAUUUCCCACUUACCUCCCACAGUCACUACUUCCUACAUUGUCCAAAGUAUUCAGCUGUUUUGGGGAGAAUCAUGAUUAUUCUACUGAGACUGCAAAAAGAGGGAAGGACGCAGCUCUUAACAUCAGAUGUAACCAAAGCGGUGCAUAUGCUAUCUAAGUACAAAGAAGAACGAAGAGGUGGAAGUUUGAGGCAGCUUUCCAAACCAUUUUUCUGCAUUUGUUUUCCAUCUUAGUUGUAUGCCUUAAACAAAUACACCAGCUGUCUUCAUUGAGCCUUCUGGAGCAUCUCCACAUUCCACGAGUACCCAUGAAUCUGUGCCUACAUACACACAUCAAUUGUUUGGAGUCCCAUUUCUUAGAAAGAUGAAGAUUGACCCUGAUUCUUUAAGUGCUGGGAAUAUUACCAUAAUAAAUGGCAUCACUACGUGAUAAGAGCA
rnacentral:lncRNA from 13 species